CGAGAUUGGUUGGUAAGGAUCUGAGAUACGAUGAGCGACCGUUGCGGAUUCUUGCUCGAGAGACGAAAGAAUUGCGCAAUCGGGUCAUUCCGUAUGUAAAGGUGCAGUGGAGUAAUCACGAGGAGCAGGAGGCGACUUGGGAGCCCGAGGCGGUGAUGAGAGAGUCCUAUCCCUAUCUUUUUGAGGCUCAGGUUUGAGGUAUGUUUUAAGUUUCGAGGACGAAUUUUUUGUAGUAGAGAAGAAUGUAGUUUCCUAGGUGGAAUAGAGAGUUGGUAAAAGGGCAUUUUGGUCCUUU
rnacentral:lncRNA from 1 species